rnacentral:rRNA from 1 species
UACGUAGGGACCGAGCGUUGUCCGGAUUCAUUGGGCGUAAAGAGCUCGUAGGCGGCCACUCAAGUCGAAUGUGAAACCUCGAGGCUUAACCUCGAGCCUGCAUUUGAUACUGGGCGGCUAGAGUCUGGUAGGGGGAUCUGGAAUUCCUGGUGUAGCGGUGAAAUGCGUAGAUAUCAGGAAGAACACCGGUGGCGAAAGCGCUCUGCUAGGCCGCAACUGACACUGAGGGACGAAAGCUAGGGGAGCGAAUGGG